rnacentral:lncRNA from 1 species
GUUUAUCUAAGAACUCAAAAUUAAUUUCCCUACCUAAUACUGUAGUGGUUAUACCAUUUUCAUCUACUUUAAGGGGGUAAAGUAAGGUUAAAAAGGGUGUUCCUAGAAUAAUUUCUUCUGUAAUAUUUUUUACUAACAAAAAGGAAGUUAUGUAACAAACUUUAUCUUUACAAACUUUAGCGUUAGAUAAUUUAUAAGAUACUUGUAAUCUAGUUCCAUUAGCUCCUCUUAAUGAUUCCUUAGUUUUUUC